ACAAAAUCCAGUACGUCCGCCUUCACUCGCAAGCAUGGGGGCCAAGCUCGCGGGGACUGCCUUCUGCUUCUUCCUUCUCCUCACCUUUGGUUUUGGUAAAGAGGAGACACCAUGCGAAAGGCCCAGCAAGUAUUACCAGGACGUCGAAUGUUUCGGAUCCAAGUGCAAGAAUGCCUGCAUUGGGGAGCAUUUCAGAGACAGGUACUGCAAUUACUUAAGAUGCAUAUGUACAAACCAUUGUGUCAAUGGAAGCCCGAUUGAAGCCAGGGACGGCUAGAAAUCUUAAAUUUCGGCGUUUGUUCAAAUGGAAUAUAAGCAAUAAAGCAAACAAUAUUGUGUGAUGGUU